rnacentral:rRNA from 1 species
GAUUAGCUGAGAGGUGGUGCAUGGCCGUCGUCAGUUCGUACUGUGAAGCAUCCUGUUAAGUCAGGCAACGAGCGAGACCCACGUCCACAGUUGCCAGCAUACCCUCCGGGGUGAUGGGUACACUGUGGAGACCGCCGCUGCUAAAGCGGAGGAAGGAGUGGGCAACGGUAGGUCAGUAUGCCCCGAAUCUCCCGGGCUACACGCGGGCUACAAUGGUUGGUACAAUGGGCAUCUACCCCGAAAGGGGAAGGAAAUCUCUUAAAGCCAAUCGUAGUUCGGAUUGAGGGCUGCAACUCGCCCUCAUGAAGCUGGAAUCCGUAGUAAUCGCGUUUCAACAGAACGCGGUGAAUACGUCCCUGCUCCUU